CCAACACACAGCAUUCAACAGACUAAGCACUUAUUUUCAAGUUACUAAUUUUUAAUUUACGAAGCCCUUAUGUGCAACAUGACAGUGAGCAAGAGAGGUACAAAGCUGAACCCCCAGUCUCUUGAAUAUGAGGGGAAGCUGGGAAGAUAUCAACAGGUGAUAAAAAUAUGCUACAAUUAACUGUGGUGAUGUUGCACAACUCUGUAAAUACACUAAAAAUCACUGACUUGUACACUUUCAAUUGAUGAGAAAACUGAGAUAUACAGAGAUCAAGAAUCAUCCAAGGUCACACAAUACGAGGUGGGGUCAGAAUGCAAACCCAGGCAGUGUGCCUACCUAGCCCAGACUCUUAACCACUAAGAUGUCACUAAAGAAGCAUCAACAUCAACAGGAAACACUUUAACACUACCUAAUGUCCAACAACAAGGAUUGAUUAAACACAUUCCAGAAUA
ensembl:lncRNA novel transcript, antisense to CDYL2